UUGUUUGACCUCGGAUCAGGUAGGGAUACCCGCUGAACUUAAGCAUAUCAAUAAGCGGAGGAAUAGUG
rnacentral:rRNA from 1 species